rnacentral:tRNA from 1 species
GAGGGUACAGCUUAGUGGGUAGAGCGCAUGCUUAGCAAGCAGGAGGUCAUGGGUUCAAUCCCCAGUACCUCCA